GCUAGUCGUCCAAGGUAACCGUAGCUUGCUCUCGGGUGACGAGCGGGGGACGGGAGAGUAAUGUCUGGGAAACUGCCUGAUGGAGGGGGAUAACUACUGGAAACGGUAGCUAAUACCGCAUAAUGUCGCAAGACCAAAGUGGGGGACCUUCGGGCCUCAUGCCAUCAGAUGUGCCCAGAUGGGAUUAGCUAGUAGGUGGGGUAACGGCUCACCUAGGCGACGAUCCCUAGCUGGUCUGAGAGGAUGACCAGCCACACUGGAACUGAGACACGGUCCAGACUCCUACGGGAGGCAGCAGUGGGGAAUAUUGCACAAUGGGCGCAAGCCUGAUGCAGCCAUGCCGCGUGUAUGAAGAAGGCCUUCGGGUUGUAAAGUACUUUCAGCGGGGAGGAAGGCGAUAAGGUUAAUAACCUUGUCGAUUGACGUUACCCGCAGAAGAAGCACCGGCUAACUCCGUGCCAGCAGCCGCGGUAAUACGGAGGGUG
rnacentral:rRNA from 1 species